GACUGUGGGAGGACCAACAAGAGGAAUAGACUUUGAAUAGCAAAUGUGAAGCCAUAAAGCUUGAAAUUGUUGUCAGACGCUGCCCCCUAGCCAAGUUUUCAACAAAAAGGUUCAAUGUAGGGAUUCUCUAGUAGUUGAACUUGUAGAAAAUUUCAAUAGUAUGACUUUAUACUUGUAAUAAGAAGAUAAAUUAUGUGUUGGGAAUAAAUGAAACUUACUAAAUAUAUGGAUAGGAUAGGGUGAACUCUCUGUGUUUCCAUUUUUGGAAUCUAACGGAUCAAAGAUGGAUCUCUCCAUCUAUUUCCAAAUAGGAGAUGUGGGCAAUCUUGAAUUGAUGUCUCAUCAUUGGAUUUGGAACUGAUGUAUAGCUCUGAAACCAUGAUAGGGUUCUCCUUCAGUUGUCAAAUACAACUGGAGCUUAGGUGAGGUCUUGGUGAUAUAGAAAAGUCAUGGAUUCUAGAAUCUUUACAUGAAAAUAUAAAUGAGAUACAUUGGAAGAAAGCCCAGGCCUUGGUCAUCUGAGAAGAAACACAUCUUAAAUAUCCUAUCAAUCAUGAUGAGUUUUUUUAGAAUCAUGAGUCUAUGAAGGCCUCACUCAGAUAAGGGAUGUCUUUGACAUUUCUCACUCUUCAAUCUCAGGAAGGUACAUCAUCAACCAAAACAUUAUGAAUAUGAGUCAUCAUGAGGCAACUUGUUUAUGUUUUUUAUUCUUUUCUCAUUGGAAGGGAUUAAAAGAUAUGUAGUUGCAAGAUAAGAGAUGUAGCCAGUAGUGAGAGCAUCAAACAAUCCUUCUCUAAUGCAGACCAAAAAUUUUAGCAACUCGUGAUCUCUGCAAUUUAGAGCACUGAAGGAAGUUGGCCUGUUGGAAAGAUGUGACAUGACAUUUAGAAAUGUGCAAGAAUUCCAAAGAUCAUUUCAAUCAUUAAGGAAUCCAAAGCCCUAUAAUUUGAAUAGGGCAUCCACUUGGCAUGGAUAACGCACCUAUCUUGGGAAAAAGAUUGGGCACCAAUUCAAUCAUCAACUCUCUAUGAAACUUGAGAUACAAGGUGCCAAUGUUAGUUGCUUUCGUGGCAGUUCUUCUUUUACUGGUAUUAGGGCAAAGCCUUUUGAAAACCCUCAAUCUACAAAUUACCAAGGACAUGAGAUCAUGUUGUAAUCUCAUAAAAAUAAAAUAUAAAAAACAAAUAUUUUUUCACCCAUGAAUACUGUAACCAGCUUUUAAAAAACAUUAGGUAUUGAAAUAACCAAAUGUUCCUCAGGUAUUAAAGUUAAAGUUCAAAGUUACCAAGAGUGCUUUUUUGACCCAUGCAUAAAAUAAAAAGAAAAUAAGAAAGCAUAACAUAUAACUCAUAAUUGUGUCAAGUGUGAGUUCAAUUCAUGGUCAUGCACAAUUGCAUUAAGUAUUUAAAAGCUAAAUAUGGCUAUGUGCAAUUCAAAGAAUAUCAUACAACUCACAAUAGAAUCCUCACAACUCACCAUAGAAUGAGAACUCAAUUGUCUUUCUUCUAGUCAUAAGAGUUUGUGCUCUUCGAGCCUCUAACUUGCACAACUUAAGACAGCAAGACAUGCUAAAAAGUCUCUUUCACCUCAAACAUUAAUCAAAUCUGCAGUCUAAAUCUAGAUAAUAUAAUUUCCUACAAAUAUAACAUGUUGCAAACAAAUAACAAUAUGUUGGUUUAAAAUUGAAGAGCAUUUCAAACCAAACAAAAUAGAAAAAAUUUCAGUGUAUAUCACUCACCUAAAAUCUUGUAUGUUGGAUAAAAUUCCUGCUAAUGAAUC
rnacentral:lncRNA from 1 species